rnacentral:rRNA from 1 species
UAAACGACUCUCGGCAACGGAUAUCUCGGCUCUCGCAUCGAUGAAGAACGUAGCGAAAUGCGAUACUUGGUGUGNAUUGCAGAAUCCCGUGAACCAUCGAGUCUUUGAACGCAAGUUGCGCCCGAAGCCUUCUGGCUGAGGGCACGCCUGCUUGGGCGUCACGCA